rfam:Ciona savignyi cont_15115, whole genome shotgun sequence.
GGUAGCGUGGCCGAGCGGUCUAAGGCGCUGGUUUUAGGCACUAGUCAUUUCGAUGGCGUGGGUUCGACUCCCACCGCUGCCA